GAUGAACGCUGGCGGCGUGCCUAAUACAUGCGAGUCGAGCGAACAGACGAGGAGCUUGCUCCUCUGACGUUAGCGGCGGACGGGUGAGUAACACGUGGAUAACCUACCUAUAAGACUGGGAUAACUUAGGGAAACCGGAGCUAAUACCGGAUAAUAUAUUGAACCGCAUGGUUCAAUAGUGAAAGACGGUUUUGCUGUCACUUAUAGAUGGAUCCGCGCCGCAUUAGCUAGUUGGUAAGGUAACGGCUUACCAAGGCAACGAUGCGUAGCCGACCUGAGAGGGUGAUCGGCCACACUGGAACUGAGACACGGUCCAGACUCCUACGGGAGGCAGCAGUAGGGAAUCUUCCGCAAUGGGCGAAAGCCUGACGGAGCAACGCCGCGUGAGUGAUGAAGGUCUUCGGAUCGUAAAACUCUGUUAUUAGGGAAGAACAAAUGUGUAAGUAACUAUGCACGUCUUGACGGUACCUAAUCAGAAAGCCACGGCUAACUACGUG
rnacentral:rRNA from 1 species